rnacentral:rRNA from 1 species
AAUCCAUAGGUUAAUGAGGCGAACCGGGGGAACUGAAACAUCUAAGUACCCCGAGGAAAAGAAAUCAACCGAGAUUCCCCCAGUAGCGGCGAGCGAACGGGGAGGAGCCCAGAGCCUGAAUCAGCAUGUGUGUUAGUGGAAGCGUCUGGAAAGGCGCGCGAUACAGGGUGACAGCCCCGUACACAAAAGCGCAUGUGCUGUGAGCUCGAUGAGUAGGGCGGGACACGUGGUAUCCUGUCUGAAUAUGGGGGGACCAUCCUCCAAGGCUAAAUACUCCUGACUGACCGAUAGUGAACCAGUACCGUGAGGGAAAG